CAUUCUCACUCCAAAGGCGUCAAAAACCGAAGCAUGGUCAAGCGCCCCUAGCGUCACUCUUAUGACGCCAAAUGUGCCUCUCGGCGUCGACUAUCGAAGCACUACGACCUUCAUUGCUUUCAAUGGGAAACUUUUGGCGUCAGAAUUCGACACGAGGACAUGAGAUGUUUAUCGCUAUGAAAUCACGUUCAAGAAGUCUCAUUCAGCACACAUCGCGCGAUACUUGCUAUCAGUUCCACAGUUUGGCUGAAAAGACGUAAAGGCAGUCAGCCCAGUGGUGUUUCUGGAGAGGGAUUCCUUCAGAAAUGGAGAAGACAGAAAGCUGCGGAGGCAGAUAUUUGCAGCAUGUUCGAGUGAGCAUGAUGACCACAAGUGUGUGUCAAACUUUUCAUGACCUGAUGACUGUGUUUCCCAAUCCUGAUCCUGGAGAACCCCAGCACUGCACGGUUUUGGCGUCUCUCUUAUCUGCCUUGGAGUCUUCACUGAUGAGCUGAUGAGUUGAAUCAGGUGUGUUUGAUCAGGGAGACAUCUCAAAUGUGCAGUGUUGGGGUUCUCCAGGACCAGGAUUGGGAGCCACUGCCUUAUGGGACACUUAUGUGUUUAAAGAGAUUUUUAAUAUCUAAUUAUCAAUAUUUCACAUACUGUACAUUGGACAGCUUUCCAUGACCUCUUGUGAGAUCUCGGCAAAAAGUCUGACGAUUUAUUCCAAAACAUGAUGCAUGAUGGGAUACACUAAGCUUUGUAUAGCGCUCCGGAGCAGUAUUGGAGAGGUUUAGUGUGUGUUAAGGACGCUGUGCUUUGGCAUUAUUAAGACCGGGGACAGUCUUGUGCACACACUGUCACGUACACACACUCUCAAGUGGCCAAGACUGCAAGUGUGGGUAUCUGGACAGGGUCAAAGUCUUAAAAAUGAUCCCUAAACACAUCACAGUCUUAAUAAUCCAGUUUAACACUUGUAUGAUAUUGUACAAGCCCCAGGACGGUCUCAUCUGACACUAUCAAAAGAAUUCAUAUGACUAUAGCUUGUUAUUAAUUACUUGCUUUCAAUAAUGGAUGCAUUUAACAUUUAAUUAUACAGCAUCUUUACAGAGGUGUAAUGUACAAGCUGCACGUAAUUAAUAAUAUGUCCUUCCUUCUGUCUUACAGGAUUUUUUCCAGAUAAUGCUGUUCUUCUUUUUCAGGUCUAAAAUAUCGAGCUCAACAGCUAUUUUAAGAGCCAACCCUCACAAACCUUCCUAAAACCUAAAAGAGCUAUUACUGAGUCUCAGCGAAUCUUGCCAUGAUCAGCUCUUCCCAGAAGAGAAGGAAGACCAAGGAAAUUAUUUGCUCAGGAUGAGAAAUGAAGACGGCCAUCGUGUGCUCAAACAAACAGAAGUCCUUUGGUAUGUGUGUGUUGAAGCAAUGUUAUACAACAUUUUAUGAUGAUCUCUCACAGAACUGGUCAUGUCAGCCUUGAUUUCGUUUUAUACUAUUACAAUUACAGCAUGUUAGCAAAGUGUGACUGGACAUUUUUAAUAUUAUGUUUUUAAAAACACACCACCUGUUUUAAAAGCAGACAAGUAUCAUGAAAUUGGUUUAGUUGAUAUAAACACCAAUUGACAUUAUUUCAUUGUUUUGUAAAUGUUAUGUUAUAAAUUGUGAAUUGAUAGUUGAUUGGUUUGAAGCCAGGCCUUACACUGCACAGACUAAAACACAUUUGUGAGAGAAGUCAGGAACUUUGGAGAAAGAUUCUAGAGGAAGAAAACACA